GGGCCCGUAGCUCAGGCCGGUUAGAGCAAGGGACUCAUAAUCCCCAGGUCGUGGGUUCAAAUCCCACCGGGCCCA
rnacentral:tRNA from 1 species